UAACUUAUGUGUCUUCCCAAACAAAGCCUUAAUUACCACAAACAUAAUAUACAAUUAUUGUCAUACAAUUCUCAUAUCUAUAGCACUUUUAAUUAUAUACUGAUAUAAUUAUUUUUCCUUGUGAUAUAAGUCUUUCCAAGCUGCGGACAGACAACUCAACUUAUCACAUGGGGGAAUUUCAUUAUCCUCAAAGAACUUUUCAGGCGCCGCGAUCCAACCAAGGUAAAUGUAGUAUUAAUGGAAAAGGAGAUCCCCUAUAAAUCCCGAAGCAAAAUGACUAGGAAGCACAUCUUUGCUCUUUAUAGUCGGCAGAAAAUGACAAGAUUGUUGUAUACUAGAACUGUUCAUUGCUGGUUUCUGAUAUUUGUUAUCUAUCAAAUUCAAUUUUUCAUCAUUGUGACAAGAUUGGCUGAAGUUUAUUUAAAAUACCAUAAUCAAAUGCAAGUUUAAAAGAGCCAUAAACUUGUUCUAUUUUUAAAUCUCAAUGGAAUUUGAUUCUUGUAGAACAUAAUAAAUAUGUAAGCAUGCAUAAUAUUGAAGCAACAUUGUUACCAUGUGUUAGUUGUCAGGCUUGAUAGAACAGUCUAUGACUUUAGUGUACUCUUCCGUUGCAUUCGACAUGUAAGUGACGUGAGCCUGGAAAGUUUUUGCAGGGCAGUUGAAAGGAUCAAAAUCUGUAUCCUCUUUUGCUAGGAAGGUAAUGUAAUUAGACCCAAGAGGAGUAAGCCUCCAAGUUGC
rnacentral:lncRNA from 1 species